rnacentral:rRNA from 1 species
UACGAGGGGGGCAAGCGUUGUUCGGAAUUAUUGGGCGUAAAGGGUUCGUAGGCGGUCUGAUAAGUCAUCUGUGAAAGCCCUGGGCUCAACCCGGGAAUUGCGCUUGAGACUGGUGUGCUCGAGUACGGGAGAGGAUAGUGGAAUUCCCAGUGUAGAGGUGAAAUUCGUAGAUAUUGGGAAGAACACCAGUGGCGAAGGCGGCUAUCUGGACCGUAACUGACGCUGAGGCGCGAAAGCGUGGGGAGCAAACAGG